GAUGAACGCUGGCGGCGUGCCUAAUACAUGCAAGUCGAGCGAACGGACGAGGAGCUUGCUCCUCUGACGUUAGCGGCGGACGGGUGAGUAACACGUGGAUAACCUACCUAUAAGACUGGGAUAACUUCGGGAAACCGGAGCUAAUACCGGAUAAUAUAUUGAACCGCAUGGUUCAAUAGUGAAAGACGGUUUUGCUGUCACUUAUAGAUGGAUCCGCGCCGCAUUAGCUAGUUGGUAAGGUAACGGCUUACCAAGGCAACGAUGCGUAGCCGACCUGAGAGGGUGGUCGGCCACCCUGGAACUGAGACACGGUCCAGACUCCUACGGGAGGCAGCAGUAGGGACUCUUCCGCAAUGGGCGAAAGCCUGACGGAGCAACGCCGCGUGAGUGAUGAGGGUCUUCGGAUCGUAAAACUCUGUUAUUAGGGAAGAACAAAUGUGUAAGUAACUAUGCACGUCUUGACGGUACCUAAUCAGAAAGCCCCGGCUAACUACGUG
rnacentral:rRNA from 1 species